rfam:Rattus norvegicus chromosome 11, whole genome shotgun sequence.
GGGGAUUUGGCUCAGUGGUAGAGCGCUUGCCUAGCAAGUGCAAGACCCUGGGUUCGGUCCCCAGCUCCG